AUUGUGGACUUUAUAAAAGCAAAG
rnacentral:piRNA from 1 species